GCACGCACUGGAUAGGAGCACAGCCGAAUGCAUGGGGGAAUUUUCCAAAGGAAAUUAAAAUGUAGUUCCUGUCAACUUUCCUCAGCAAAGCCAUUCUUUCCUCUCUGGAACCUGGACGAUCUACAGUCCGGAGUGUUCCAAAUAACCACAUCAAUAGAAAAUAUUGGCUGAAGAAAAUGAGCAUUGACUAUGCACUAGAUGCUCUUUGAAGCACUUUACUGGCAUGGAUGUUCUUACAUCAGCUGAAGCUUCCCAAGCUCCCAAGCUGGUCAGCGGCUCUUCUGAGGUUCGCUCCCCAGCCGCCUGGCCACAGAGCCCUGUGCUCUCAUCCUGUGCUUUCGGUCCUCUGGUCCGUACGCAGGAGCUGUGGGCACCCAGAGCUGUGCCUUGUAAACAGGCCAAAGCAAACUUCCCCUGAUGUUGCUUUCCUACUCCUUACGGGUGACAGAAUCUGUUUGAGCCAAUCACGUGACUGCAGAUUCCUCCACGGGACACAGUCUCGUCUCAGGACUUUGCUUUCCAGUGCAGCUUCCCCGUGGCACCUUCCAUCGCAGGUGAGCAGGUGCUGGGUGUCUGUGAUGCACCUGAAAUGCGGUCGCCCAGCACAGAGAUGCUGA
rnacentral:lncRNA from 1 species